rnacentral:misc_RNA from 1 species
CCUGCAUUUUUCCCCCCUUCAAUUACAGUAUGCGGAUCUACAACAUUACCCAGUGAUUUGCUCAUCUUAAAACCUUUCUCAUCCAAUACAAAUCCAUGGGUUAUGACACCAGAAUACGGAGCCUUUCCUUUUGUAGCAAUACUUGUUAAUAAAGAGCUUUGAAACCACCCACGGUGUUGAUCUGAGCCUUCAAGAUAAAUAUCUGCAGGAUAACUAAGGCCAUUC